ensembl:lncRNA
GGAGCAAGGAGGGACAUCUUGAGUGUGCACUGAACCAGAAAUAUUUGGUUGACUUCAACAAGAAAGAUAAAGACCAGCAACGUCCAGACCCAGCACCAUCUGGUCUCAGAAAGUGCAAGAGAGCUGGAAUUGGACACACAGCAGUAAGAGAGCUUCCUGAAGAAUAAGUUGCUUUCUCAGGAGUCCCUGAUGACAAACAUCCUGAACGAAAACACCACUUGAGAGACAACUUGGGGGACCACCUUUCAUUAUGUGUGCUAGAGGAGAAACAGCAAUACAUCUGUGCUUCUAAAUGUUCGUUAAGAAUAUGCUGUUUAGAAAUAUUUUUGUUAUGAUUUUAAUUGAAGUUUUCUUUUUGUUGUUUCAUAUUAAUAUGUUCUUGUUACUGUUUUUCACUUUC